CGAAUUAUUAUUUAGGCUCCUUUCUACACGAUGCGUUAGCGUAAUAGGACGGUAAUUUCGUGAGAAAAGGGACACUAGUCAAUUUCUAUCACUUUUCAAAGAAAAAAAAGCCAUUUUACAUUUUCAAGUUAUAUUUUCUAAAAAAAUGAUUUAGAACAAAACGCAUCUCAAUAUACCAUUCGAUCGGGCGUAAAAUUGUACAAAUAAAAUGUAUGUAAACACAUUUACAAACAAAUUACUCAUGCUGUUUCUCAACAAUUUUUUUUUGAGAAUAAAUCAGUCGGACAGUUCAUUUUGAUUAUGGAGAUUUAGAUGAAAACGUUAUAGUAUACUGGUUGAUGUUACUAGAAUGCACUCUUUCAUUAAUCCAAAUAUAUAAUUUUGACGAUUCACGGUGUUGAUGUUUUUUAUAGAAUACGUUAGCCAUCGAAACUUACUUUUGAUUAUAGAAUGGAAGUAAAGGUAUGAAACACGGUGAAGAAAAUAUUUUCCUCCUUCGCCUUCGUCUUAACUAUUUAGGGUCAAUUACCCUCGUCCUAAACUUCCACUUGAUCCGAUUUCCCAAAUAGUCCUCGAAUUCACCUGUCGUUCUCGUAUCAUUCUCAAUCAUAUACAUCCUCCUAUUUUUCGAUCUUCCAUUUCUCUUUCUUCCUACAUUUAUUUUCAUUAAAAUGCUUACUACUUCUGAU